GGGGCUGUAGCUCAGUUGGGAGAGCGCUUGAAUGGCAUUCAAGAGGCCGUGGGUUCGAUUCCCUCCAGCUCCACCA
rnacentral:tRNA from 2 species